UUUUUUAUUUUUUUAAAUAACUUUUUAUUGAUAGAACAUAUGCCAGGGUAAUUUUUUACAGCAUUAUCCCUUGCAUUCACUUCUGUUCCAAUUUUUCCCCUCCCUCCCUCCACCCCUUCCCCCAGAUGGCAAACAGUCCUUUACAUGUUGAAUGGGUUACAGUAUAUCCUAGAUACAAUAUAUGUGUGCAGAACUGAACAGUUUUCUUGUUGCACAGGGAGAAUUGAAUUCAGAAGGUGUAAAUAACCCGGGAAGAAAAACAAAAAUGCAAGCAGUUUAUAUUCAUUUCCCAGUGUUCUUUCUCUGGGUAUAGCUGCUUCUGUCCAUCUUUGAUCAAUCUCUUUAUCGAAGAGAUCCACUUCCAUCAGAAUACAUCCUCAAACAGUAUCGUUGUUGAGGUAUAUAAUGAUCUCCUGGUUCUGCUCAUUUCACUUAGCAUCAAUUCAUGUAAGUCUCGCCAGUCCUCUCUGUAUUCAUUCUGCUGGUCAUUCCUUACAGAACAAUAAUAUUCCAUAACAUUCAUAUUACAUAAUUUACUCAACCAUUCUCCAAUUGAUGGACAUCCUUUCGUUUUCCAGCUUCUAGCCACUACAAACAGGGCUGCCACAAACAUUUUGGCAUAUACAGGUCCCUUUCCUUUCUUUAGUAUCUCUUUGGGGUAUAAUUGUAGAAACACUGCUGGAUCAAAGGGUAUGCACAGUUUGAUAACUUUUUGAGCAUAGUUCCAAAUUGCUCUCCAGAAUGGCUGGAUGUGUUCACAAUUCCACCAACAAUGUAUCAGUGUCCCUGUUUUCCCACAUCCCCCCCAACAUUCCUCAUUACCUUUCCCUGUCAUUCUAGCCAAUCUGACAGGUGUGUAGUGGUAUCUCAGAGUUGUCUUAAUUUGCAUUUCUCUGAUUAAUAAUGAUUUGGAGCAUAUUUUCAUAUGUCUAUAAAUAGUUUCAAUUUCUUCGUCUGAGAAUUGUCUGUUCAUAUCCUUUGACCAUUUAUCAAUUGGAGAAUGGUUUGAUUUCUUAUAGAUUAGAGUCAAUUCUCUAUAUAUUUUGGAAAUGAGGCCUUUAUCAGAACCUUUGAUUAUCAAAAAUGUUUUCCCAGUUUAUUGUUUCCCUUCUAAUCUUGUCUGCAUUUGUUUUGUUUGUACAAAAACUUUUCAAUUUGAUAUAAUCAAAAUUUUCUAUAUUGUGGUCAAUAGUGAUCUCUAGUUCUUCUUUGGUCAUAAAUUCCUCCCUCUUCCACAGGUCUGUGAGGUAAACUAUCCUAUGCUCUUCCAAUUUAUUUAUAAUCUCAUUCUUUAUGCCUAGGUCAUGAACCCAUUUUGACCUUAUCUUGGUAUACGGUGUUAAGUGUGGGUCAAUGCCUAGUUUCUGCCAUACUAAUUUCCAAUUUUCCCAGCAAUUUUUGUCAAAUAAUGUGUUCUUAUCCCCAAAACUGGGGUCUUUGAGUUUGUCAAACACUAGAUUAUUAAAGUUUUUGGCUGUUUUGUCCUUUGAACCUAA